GUCCCCGUAGCUCAGUUGGAUAGAGCAACAGCCUUCUAAGCUGUGGGUCAGGCGUUCGAGUCGCCUCGGGGACGCCA
rnacentral:tRNA from 1 species